ensembl:lncRNA
CCAGAGGAGCCGCUAUGUGGUUUAUGCAGAACCCUGAUCUUUUGCCAGGAAGUGUGGAAAUUUUAAAACUUAUCGGUCAGUUCCUGAAGGUGUUGGCAGUCUGACCUGGGAAGCAUUUCACCAGACAGAAAAUGAGAAAUGAAAACCUCAAAUUAGUAAUGCUCCCUACUAUCAAGUGGCAAUGAGACCAUGUUCUUCCAGACUUACUCCAGGAGUCAAACUCCCUGCAAAGCUGCUUUUGAGAAAUAAAAGUUCAGUUUAAAACCAAAUUCAUUUGGAACCAGAAGAGACCUAGAAGAGCAAAAGCAAUUCUAAGCAACAAAGACAAGGUAGGAGAUAUCAUAA